AACCAAACACAAGAAAUCAUUAGGACAAAACAUAGAAAAUACAAAACAGGACUUAGACGAGUGUCCCACCCGUAACAUACUCAGUGAAGGCCAAUGCGACGAGACCAAGCAUCGCGAACCGACCGUUCCAUAGCUCGGCGUCUGAGGUCAUGAAGCCUUUGGACUUUGACUCUGCCCUUAUACCUUUGAACAACGGAACCAUCGAUGCUAACGUCAGCAACGCCGUCGUUCCUAAGAACCAUCCAGCGCCACCGUCGGAGAUCUGAGCUAAAACGUUUUCUCCCUUUGAAAGCUCCACCGCGAGCGCCGCCACAAAUCCCACCAUUGCUAGCCUCCCGUUUAUCCUCUCAGGCGCUGGACCGCUAAAGGCUAAUAAGUCUCUAAACUUUGUACUCACCUGAAUAAGUGACAAACCAUUCAGCUCACAAUUACAUAAUCAAAUACUAAUGAUGAUAAUAUAUAUAUAUAUAUAUAUACGUAUAUUUUGAUUGGGAUCUCAGCCGAAAAACCAGACUAAUCUCUGACACUAAAAAAAAAAAAAAAAAAAAAAAGCUCUGACACUACUAAAAUAAAACUGUAUAGCUACGGAUGUUUUCGUGGUUGUGGCUCUAAAUCCGUAGCUAUACAACCAUUUAGCCACGGAAAAGCACACAAACUUUUGUAGCAUGUAGAGCAUUUGGUAAUUCUUGUCAUUUAAAGUAUUCUCAAUAGCUAACGAUGACUGAAAAUCGCAAUAAAAACAACAAAAAAAAAAACCAUCCUUAAACUCCAUUGGUAAUGAUACUAGUUGACUUUGAUCAUACCUUAGGCUUGCUAGCUGGCUCUUGCGGUUGAGUGGCCGAGGUCGAAGGCAAAGAAGAGUCUUCUUUGAUAGGAUCGUUCUUAAGAAAGAGUCAAUGAAACGAACGGUCAGAAUUGAAAGUCAAACAAUUAACGUUGGCAAAGUGAUGAGAUGAGAUAUAUACCUGAGCCAUGCACCUGACCCCCACCGAAGGAUUCCUCUUGAAGAAGAAUUGGUUUGUGUUUCUGAUGUUGCGGGAACUCAGUCCACCGGAAGGUGCGGCGAACACAGACUGCAUGUUAAACGACGCCGUUGCCAUUUCUGAUUAGGUUUACUUAGACGUCAAAGAUGAAGAAAAAAAUAGAUAGAGAGAGGAAAUUCUCGAAUAAACACUAAGAGUUGAGAAAUGAGAUGGAUCUGGUUUGUAGUGUAACUGAGCAAGAUCAUCUUUGUAUUUAUAGAGUGGGUGAAGGUGAAUGUUAGGUCCAGUUAUUUUCUGCAUUUUAUUUAUUUAUUUAGAUUUAUUAAUUAUAAAUAUGGGAUAUUUAUUUCUUUUUAUUGGAAAAUUUUACUUUAAGAUUUAUAUAUGUAGUUACUACAUUAAUUUGCACAUGAUACUUGACACAACCUGUUUACCAUGGUCCAUGAACCAAAAUUUACAGUAAUAAAGUUUUAAUUUAUAACAAAUUUAGGAAUGAAAACAUUUUGGGAAAGAAAAACAUAUGAAAUAAUUAGAUUCGAAGCCAAAUUUUCUUACCGAAUUUGAUAGUUUGGAUAAGGUCGAGAUGUUUUCCUACUUAGGAGAUUUUUUCCAUCCUUAUUAACAGUUAUUCUAUACAUGAAUCAUAGAAUCUGUGAAACAGGCAAUAUACACGAAUUUGAGUUGAACGUUAUACAAAUAAACACGUAUGCAAUAAUUUACAAAAGAGAGAGAGAGAGAGAGAGAGAGAGAGAGAGAGAGAGAGAGAGAGAGAGAGAGAGAGAGAGAGAGAGAGAGAGAGAGAGAGAGAGAGGGAGAGGAAAAUGAGAUGAGGAUUUGUAAGAAGCCACGUCUAGUUGAAAAGUGCAAGUGAAUCGAUGACUUGGUUUAAUUCAUCAUCACACACACACAAACAUCUCCCUUGUCGUUUUCUUAUUGGCGAAGCCAAGUGGAUUUUGGUAAUAAAAUCUUGUCUUAUAUCAAAUAUAUAAUUUUUCUUUUGUACAUCAAUCAAAUAUAAACUAAAACGGUACAAGAUAAAGGUUUUGAUAGGCAACGAUACUAAAAUAAUUUUAUAACUUUUUGAAAAUUGUAAUUGUUGGGAUAAAUUUGAUAAUUUCUACAAAGAUAAUGUACGUGGUGUUUAUAAUGUUUUUACAGAUAUAAUCCUAAUUCAUAUUAAUCUUAUAGUUCAAUAUGACAUAAAAUAUAUAGCACCAGAUUUUGAAUUCAUUUGGAUUCGAGAGAUCCGACACAAUGAACAACUUGUUUCCAAAUUCAUCGUAUCUAACAGAAUAUACCACAUUAUUAAAAACAAGUAAGUCGGAAACUAAGUGGUCAGAAAGAGGACAGGUCACAUUCUAUAUAUCCUAUGCCUAAGCUUGGUAAUCCGGAAUGGUCGGGAUAUAAGAAAGUAUGACACGUACAGGUACCUUGAGAAUGAAGUCGUCCAUGGAGAUAAUCCUGACACCCCGAUCCCAGUAUCGAGGGAUCCAAGCCAAAUAUGAAUAAUCCUACGAGUGGGAAACACUUUUCAAAUUUUCCUCCAUUCAAAUAGGACUAUGUCUUAAUCUUAUUUAAUUGCCCAUGUUCUUACAAACCUAUGAGAUUGAAUGCAUCGUUCUUACACGUGUCAGGUGAUAAUGACCCUUCGCAGAAGCUAGAAGAAAAGCAGAGGUUCACAUAGACUAUACCGCAUCUGAACCUCCGACCCGACAUGUACACUGGGGAUGAAAGAAACACGCCAAUGAGUGGUCUUGCAGCAGGCAUAACACGUCAAGGAAAGUUGGUAAGACCGUCAGAGACAUUACGCAAGCACAAGAUUCAGAUCCAAUCAAGACGGGUCGAGGACCAACCCGCCCGACUCACGACCCAAAGAUCGACCCGGUAUAAUAACUCAUAUCAGAUAAAAUCCUAUAAAUACUUUUUCCCUUCCAAUAAAGAAAGGGAUCACUCUUUUCAAUAAUUUUAAGGCUCAUAUUAUCUCUCUAGAUACUUAUGAUCUUUGAGCUCUAGCAUCUUAUACUUUCCGGUCAUUACUCCGACCAACUCCUCGAUUCCUCUCCACAGCAGUUUCUUAACCGUGAAACAUUUCCACACACAAACUCUUUCGUUUUUUCUCUUUUCACCUCAAAAAGUCCAUCACCUCUCAAAGGUUCGAAUCGAUUCCACCUUUCUAAGGAACAUUCGACCAAUUUUCCUUCUCCUGUUUUCCGAAUUCUUUCCUUUCUCUGAUUAGUCACUUUGUGAUCUUUUUUACUGUAUUCUGAUUUGAGCGUCAGAGAACCUUCAGAAAACACACAUUUAUCAUGUUUUCCGAACCUUCACAUGUUUUCUGGUUUUGCGGAAGAAUUGCCCCGCAGAGGACCGAAAAUCUCCUAAACAAUAAUCUACUAUUUAAGUUUUACUGGUCUUUAUUGUACCAAUUAACAUCUUUCACCAACUGGAUCUUAGAACAUAUGAACAGAAUCAUCACCUCUUAUCGAUACCGUCGUUUCUAACAACUGAGUCAAUACCUAAAUUAGUUUCCAAAAGUUUUAGACUAAUAAAAAGCCAAGUAUAGUAUUGGUACGUAUCAUUUAAAAUGUCUCGCCAAGAAAUUACCAUGAUGAAUACCAUAAUAAUUUUCGUCGAUGGAAAAACUUCACUGCAAAGCCGUAAAUUAGUGCUAGUCCAUGUUCAGUUUUUUUUAUUAAAUGUAUAUUUAUAUUUGACCUAUUAAAUUAGUUUUAAAUAAAAAUAUAUAUGCUCCAAUUUAUAUAUUGUUAAAUUAUUAUUUUUUUCUAUUUGAAUCGAGAUCAUAUUGUUUCACUAUUAACACUUGCAGGUGCUAAAAGACAGCCGAAUAUAAAUGCAUGCCUUUUGAUCCACAAAACAAGUAAUCUAUUCACUCGUACGAGAUACUAAUUAAAUUACAUGCUCUUGGACGGGUGGGCAUUCCGAUCUUCGCAUCGGGUUCGGUAGGAAUUUCAGAUUCGGAUAUUUCGGGUUUAAGGAUUUAGGAAUUGAUCGGAUUUUUUAAAAAAUUUGGAUCGAUUCAGUUCAAAUUCAGAUCGAUUUGGGUAAUUUAUUUAAGAUCCAAAUAUUUUUGAAUAUAGUUCGGAUCCUGAUCCGAAGUAUCCAAAAGUAUCCACAUUAUUCGAAAUAUUCAUUUCAAAGAACCACUAUCAAUCAAAACACUUUUGUCAAAUUCACAUAUUUUAUUGAUUUAGCGAUUCGAGAUUUCUAAUUUGGGUUUUUUUUUAAAAAAAUAUUUAUGCCAAUAAUAGAGAAAAAAUGAAAAAAUAACAAGGAUAAUCCUAUAAAAGAGUAAAUGGGGUAAAAAUAUUUCGGAUAUGUUGGAUACUUGUUCGGAUCUCGGUUCAGGGUCAUACCCGAAAUCUGAAAUGAAAAAUUAUCAGAUCCGAUCGGUAUUUAUAUACUUUUGGUUCAGAUAUUUUCAAGUUUUUUCGGGUCGGUACCGAGUAAGUACUGAAUCCAGAUUUUUUGCUGAAUCCUAUUCUUGGUUAUAUUUAAGUGUUUAAUUUUUUUAAAAAAGACACUCAUAAUGUUUAACUUAUUUAACGAGACACUCGGCCCAUUCUUAAAUUACACGCUCUUGGUUGUGUUAUUGAUUCUGCUGCGCCACCCAAAACUUUCGCAGUAAAAUUCAUAUACCUUCAAAGAUUGACCGAUUUGAUCCAUUGACCUCGUCUUUGCUCGUGAAAGGAUUAGGGAUUAGUUUCUCCUAAUCAAUAUGGCUCUGAUUGGUAACCUGCGGAAUGGUGGAAUUGUGUUUUUAAACACAAUUCCGCAGGUUUUUUGUCAAUCAACAAAAACCCGCGUAAUGAAAAAAUACACACAAAAACCCGCGUAUUUUUAUUUGCUUAACAAAAAUACAAAGAAAAAAUCAUUCCGCAGAAAAGCGACUUAUAAGUCGCUUAAUCUAUUCCACAAGAUUUUUUCCGCAAUUCCGCCAUUCCGCAAAGUUACCAAUCAAAACUUAUAUUUCUUUUUCGCUGGCCUUUGAUGGACUCAUUAAUAUAAUAAUUAUAAAUAUUUGUGACUUUGUCUAUAAAUAAUUAAAGAUUUGGCAAACGUCAAAAGUUGAAAACCCUACAGCUCUUCUUACCACAAUAUCAACUACGAUCGAUGAUGUCCAUCCUUUCAGAAGAUUUGGUAGAGGAGAUACUCUCUAGGGUUCCGGCUACAUCUCUGAAAAAAUUACGUUGUACUUGUAAACAAUGGAACUCAUUAUUCAAUGAUCAUAGAUUCUCCAAGAAGCACUUUGAAAGAGCACCAAAGGAGUUUCUUGUUCUCAUGAGGUUUACGUUUAAAGUUUAUUCAGCUAUUUUUGAUCUCAGGGGAAUUCGAAGCAAAAUUGAUCCAUCUAUAGAGGUUAAAGGUGAAUUUGGCCUACUUGGCAGCUCUCUAAUCUCUCACUGCAACGGAUUAUUGCUAUGUCGUGAGCGGACAAUGGAUUACGGUAGAAAACUCAGAGUUUAUAACCCGUGUACGGGGCAAACAAGGUCGAUUGACCUCAGAACUGAUAACAGAAAAUUCGAAUGGUUUUCUCUUGGAUACAAAAACAACAAAUCUUCUAGUGCCAGCUACAAAAUUUUGACGUUUGAUUGUUGUGCUGACAACUUUUUUGCUGAGCUUCAAAUCUAUGAGUUUAGCUCUAAUUCAUGGAGGAUUUUUGAUGAUGUCAAUCCUGAUGAUUGGCGCUUACCAUUACGUCGUCGUCGUGGCGUAUCUUUGAAGGGAAAUACAUAUUGGAUUGCUUCAGAUACAAGAAACGCAUAUCAUGGGUUUUGUUGCGAUAUCUUUUUGCUAAAAUUUGAUUUUACAGAAGAGAGAUUUCAACGUUUGUGUCUGCCGUUAAAUUGUGAUGCUUGUGACUUCAAUACUAUGGUGCUGUCUACUGUAAGGGAAGAGAAACUUGCUUUCUUAGUUCAGAGUGAAUUUGAAUCAACUAUGGAGAUAUGGUUAACCAAAAAGAUCAUAUUUGAUAUGUCCAACGACAUGUCGUGGAGAAAGUUGUUUAGAGUGGAUUUGGGUUAUAAUAUGUUUAAGAAUUCGAUGAGUUUCAUGGUGGAUGAGGAGAACAAAGUAGCAGUGUGUUGUGAUAGAGACAAAGGUGAUGAUUACAGGACCACCAGCAGAAUGUUUAUUGUUGGAGAGGAUAAAUUCAGACAAAUGGAUCUUUCUGGAGAUUCUGCAAUUCGACCAACUCCUUGGGUGUCUGAGCCAUAUUUCUUGAGUUAUGUUCCAAGUUUGAUUCAAUUUUGAGAAAUUAUUUUAGUGGUAUUUUAAGGAUUUUCAUAUUCUUAUUGUUUAUGCAACAUUUAGUCUGUGUAUUCUAAACGGGAAUUUUAUCCCUUUUUUUCUGCCAUGUUCAAUUGUCAUGUGAAAUACACAUUUCUUUUAUCUAUAUCAAAUAUAAUCUCAAACUGAAAGAUAUAGGUUUUUAUUGGUAACAUUGUGCUUCUAAAUUAUGUCUAUAAUUUUUUCUAAUCUUGUUCUACUAUCGUCUUUAAUCUUUAUUAUACCAAUUAACAUCUUUUAACAGUAGAUCUUAUUACAACAGAACCAUCAUUAUCUCUUGACGUACCAGCAGUUUUUAACCACUGGAUCGAUACCUAAAUUAAUUCCCGAGGCCUAUAAAAAGCCAAAUAUUCUUACCAUAUACAAUGUCUAUAGUGGCCAAGAAAAUACCAUACCGCGCGAGCACCAUAAUGAUUUUGUAGAUGGUAAAACACUGUAACUCGACGCAUGUCUUUGACCCACAAAACAAAGUCAUCUACUCACUCGAACGAGAUACAUACUAACUAAUACACGUUCUUGGUUAUGUUUAACUUCUUAACUUGGCCCAUUCUUAAAUAUGAUGUUUAACUUUAUAACUCAAAACCUUGGGCAGUGCCCAAUAUAAUAGCCAAAUUUCUAGUUUUGCGUCAGUCCCAAUUCUAGUUAUAAUCGAACCAAUAAAUGAAUUUGGAAUCAUGUCCACAAUUCCACAACUUUAUAAAAGGCAUCAAAAUUAAACUAUGCGUUUUUAUAUCAUUCUCCAGAGUCUUGAUCCCCUUAAAACAUAACUAUAUAUUUAGGACAAAACUGGAAAAAUACAAAACACGACUUAGACGAGUGUCCCACCCGUAACAUACUCAGUGAAGGCCAAUGCAACGAGACCAAGCAUCGCGAACCGACCGUUCCAUAGCUCGGCGUCUGAGGUCAUGAAGCCUUUGGACUUUGACUCUGCCCUUAUACCUUUGAACAACGGAACCAUCGAUGCUAACGUCAGCAACGCCGUCGUUCCUAGAAACCAUCCGACGCCACCGUCAGAGAUCUGAGCUAAAACGUUCUCUCCCUUUGAAA
rnacentral:lncRNA from 1 species